rnacentral:rRNA from 1 species
UGAAACUGCGAAUGGCUCAUUAAAACAGUUAUAGUUUAUUCGAUAAUUUUCUACAUGGAUAACCGUAGUAAUUCUAGAGCUAAUACAUGCUGUCAAACCUGACUUCGCGGAAAGGUUGUAUUUAUUAGAUAUAAACCAAUACCUUCGGGUGUUGUGAUGAUUCAUAAUAACUGAGCGAAUCGAGGUCGUACCUCGAUAGAUCGUUCGAGUUUCUGCCCUAUCAGCUUUCGAUGGUAGUGUAUUGGACUACCAUGGCGGUCACGGGUGACGGGGAAUUAGGGUUCGAUUCCGGAGAGGGAGCCUGAGAAACGGCUACCACUUCUAAGGAAGGCAGCAGGCGCGUAAACUACCCAAUCCUGAUUCAGGGAGGUAGUGACAAGAAAUAACA